AUACGGAGGAUCCGAGCGUUAUCCGGAUUUAUUGGGUUUAAAGGGAGCGCAGGCGGAGAUGCAAGCGUGACGUCAAAUUUCGGGGCUCAACCCCGUCUCGCGUCGCGAACUGCGUCCCUUGGUUGCGGGAAGGGGAGGCGGAACUCGUGGGGUAGCGGUGAAAUGCAUAGAUAUCACGAAGAACUCCGAUCGCGAAGGCAGCCUUCCGGCCCGUCAACGACGCUCAUGCUCGAAGGUGCGGGUAUCAAACAGGAUUAGAUACCCUGGUAGUCCGCACAGUAAACGAUGGACACCCGCGGUUUGGCCUAUAUGGCUGAGCCGCCAAGCGAAAGCGUUAAGUGUCCCACCUGGGGAGUACGCCGGCAACGGUGAAACUCAAAGGAAUUGACGGGG
rnacentral:rRNA from 1 species